rnacentral:tRNA from 1 species
UCACUUCUAGCUCAGUUGGUAGAGCCUGAGACUCUUAAUCUCAGGGUUGUGGGUUUGGGCCCCACGUUGGGUA